rnacentral:rRNA from 1 species
UACGGAGGUUGCAAGCGUUAUCCGGAUUUAUUGGGUUUAAAGGGUGCGUAGGCGGGAUAAUAAGUCAGUGGUGAAAACCUGCAGCUUAACUGUAGAACUGCCAUUGAUACUGUUAUUCUUGAGUAUAGUUGAGGUGGGCGGAAUGUGUAGUGUAGCGGUGAAAUGCUUAGAUAUUACACAGAACACCGAUUGCGUAGGCAGCUCACUAAACUAAAACUGACGCUGAGGCACGAAAGCGUGGGGAUCAAAC